rnacentral:piRNA from 1 species
UAGCGAAACAAAUGCAGGGUGGAAGC